AUUAAACGCUGGCGGCAUGCCUUACACAUGCAAGUCGAACGGCAGCACGGGGGCAACCCUGGUGGCGAGUGGCGAACGGGUGAGUAAAGCAUCGGAACGUGCCCUGGAGUGGGGGAUAACGUAGCGAAAGUUACGCUAAUACCGCAUAUUCUGUGAGCAGGAAAGCAGGGGAUCGCAAGACCUUGCGCUCUGGGAGCGGCCGAUGUCGGAUUAGCUAGUUGGUGGGGUAAAGGCCUACCAAGGCGACGAUCCGUAGCGGGUCUGAGAGGAUGAUCCGCCACACUGGGACUGAGACACGGCCCAGACUCCUACGGGAGGCAGCAGUGGGGAAUUUUGGACAAUGGGCGAAAGCCUGAUCCAGCCAUGCCGCGUGAGUGAAGAAGGCCUCGG
rnacentral:rRNA from 1 species